ACGCUAAGAGGUGGGAAAGGUACCCCACGCGCCUUUACGGUUAAAAAGAGAUGCGGGAUACGCCGCCCCGCCUUAGCGU
rnacentral:ncRNA from 12 species